AUUGAACGCUGGCGGCAGGCCUAACACAUGCAAGUCGAGCGAGCGGCGGACGGGUGAGUAAUGUCUGGGAAACUGCCUGAUGGCGGGGGAUAACUACUGGAAACGGUAGCUAAUACCGCAUACCAUCAGAUGUGCCCAGAUGGGAUUAGCUAGUAGGUGGGGUAAUGGCUCAACUCGGCGACGAUCCCUAGCUGGUCUGAGAGGAUGACCAGCAACACUGGAACGGAGCAACGGUCCAGACUCCUACGGGAGGCAGCAGUGGGGAAUAUUGCACAAUGGGCGCAAGCCUGAUGCGGCCAGGCGGCGGGUGUAGAGAGGGCCUUCGGGUUGUAAAGCACUUUCAGCGGGGAGGCGUUACCCGCAGAGGAAGCACCGGCUAACUCCGUGCCAGCAGCCGCGGUAAUAC
rnacentral:rRNA from 1 species